rnacentral:rRNA from 1 species
CCUACGGGAGGCAGCAGUGGGGAAUAUUGCGCAAUGGGCGAAAGCCUGACGCCGCGACGCCGCGUGAGGGAUGAAGGUCUUCGGAUCGUAAACCUCUGUCAGCAGGGAAGAACGGUCACUGUGCUAAUCAGCAGUGAAUUGACGGUACCUGCAAAGGAAGCACCGGCUAACUCCGUGCCCGCAGCCGCGUUAAUACGGAGGGUGCGUGCGUUCAUCGGAAUUACUGGGCGUAAAGCGCUCGUAGGCGGUAUGUCAAGUCAAGGGUGAAAUCCCCGCGCUCAACGUGGGAACUGACUUUGAAACUGGCAAACUGGAGUGUGUGAGAGGAUAGUGGAAUUCCAGGUGUAGGAGUGAAAUCCGUAGAUAUCUGGAGGAACAUCAGUGGCGAAGGCGACUAUCUGGCACAUAACUGACGCUGAGGAGCGAAAGCGUGGGUAGCAAACAGGAUUAGAUACCCCAGUAGUC